rnacentral:misc_RNA from 1 species
UUAAGUUCAGCGGGUAUCCCUACCUGAUCCGAGGUCAACCGUAGAAGGGGUCGCUGGCGGGCGCGCGCUCGGGGCCGGUAGCGAGGGGUUGUACUACGCUCCAGCACCGGGCGGCACCGCCACUAGCUUUGGGGCCCGCCAGACGGCGAGCCCAGGACCCAGCGGGGCUGGGAUAGGCUAUAAUGACGCUCGAACAGGCA